rnacentral:rRNA from 1 species
GACGAACGCUGGCGGCGUGCUUAACACAUGCAAGUCGAACGAAGUGGCGAACGGUUGAGUACUACGUGGGUAACCUUCCCUCCUUUUUGGGAUAAGCCUUGGAAACGGGGUCUAAUACCGACUACAGGUUGCUGGGCUCGCGGCCUAUCGGCGGGUUGGUGGGGUGAUGGCCUACCAAGGCGGUGCCGGGUAGCCGGCCUGAGAGGGUGAACGGGGACAUUGGGACUGGGAAACGGCCCAGGGGCGGACGGGGGGGAGAAGUGGGGGAUAUGGCAGAAAGGGCGAAAGACUGAUGCAGCGAGGCCGCGUGGGGGAUGAAGGCUUUCGGGUUGUAAACCUCUUUCGCUAGCGAACGGGUAGGUGGAGAAGAAGCGACGGCUAACUACGUGCCAGCAGCCGCGGUAAUUC